rnacentral:rRNA from 1 species
UAGGGAAUCUUCGGCAAUGGACGGAAGUCUGACCGAGCAACGCCGCGUGAGUGAAGAAGGUUUUCGGAUCGUAAAGCUCUGUUGUAAGAGAAGAGCGAGUGUGAGAGUGGAAAGUUCACACUGUGACGGUAUCUUACCAGAAAGGGACGGCUAACUACGUGCCAGCAGCCGCGGUAAUACGUAGGUCCCGAGCGUUGUCCGGAUUUAUUGGGCGUAAAGCGAGCGCAGGCGGUUAGAUAAGUCUGAAGUUAAAGGCUGUGGCUUAACCAUAGUAGGCUUUGGAAACUGUUUAACUUGAGUGCAAGAGGGGAGAGUGGAAUUCCAUGUGUAGCGGUGAAAUGCGUAGAUAUAUGGAGGAACACCGGUGGCGAAAGCGGCUCUCUGGCUUGUAACUGACGCUGAGGUUCGAAAGCGUGGGGAGCAAACAGGAUUAGAUACCCUGGUAGUCCACGCUGUAAACGAUGAGUGCUAGGUGUUAGACCCUUUCCGGGGUUUAGUGCCGUAGCUAACGCAUUAAGCACUCCGCCUGGGGAGUACGACCGCAAGGUUG